GUUGUUUGGAAAAGCCAAUAUGCAAACUGCUCAGUCUGCGCCUGGCCCCCGCCCCACGAGGCCCCAUUAGCAGCCACUUUCCCAAAACAGCCCGCCCCGCUUUGGAAGGUUCCUUUCUAUUCAACCCGAGCAGGGCCCAGCAGCAGCCUGCUUGCCAGGCCCUGAGCUGGGAAAGACAAAGGGCCGCGAUUGAAUUUUCUCGGCGGCGCAGAAUCUGAAGAUGUUGUUUACUCUAGAGAAUGGGUUGAAGCUCCCGGCCCGAGGGUGCAGUCUCUAGCCGCUCACCCGCCAUUAGUCAUAACUUAAUAAAAGCCCUAAACGGCUAGCGGAAGAGCCGGCUUCGAAGGCGCAGAGAUUGCCUUAGUUCACUCCAAGAAAAGGGGUUUCUUCAUCUCAUUUUAUUUUCUAGAAAAUGCCAUCUGAAAUGAGGUCCACAUCCAGCAGAGGCAGGCUUGGGGACUUGAAGAGGUGGAUUCGAAUCCUGCUCUGGUUUUAUUAGCCGGAGGACCUGAUGUGGCUUCCUGCAGUUAGAGCUGAAGCGGUUCGUCUGUUUUCCUCCCGUGUUUAUCCUUUUGAAAGAACCCCCAUUUUCAUCUAGGAUCCACCUGCCCUCCUGGGUCUAGAGUGAGAUCCUGAUUGCUUCAAGUCAGUAAUGAUGCUCCCCACCCUUGCCUCGGGGGCCAUAUGAUACAACUCUAGUCAGAGCUUUGAGUGGAAAUAGUUCUAGGAGUUUCUAGGAAUAAUCUCCCCCCAUUUAAGAAAGAGUCCCAUGGAAGCCAAGAGGUAAGUCUGCCCGAAGAAGCUAACAUGCUGAAGUUGUCAAGAAUGAAGGAAAAGAGGGGGAGGACGUUGUUGAUACUGAAAGAACAGGAUAGCCACAGGACUUGGUGAACCCUAAACUUCUAUGCCUGGGAACCCCAAGAACCCCAGGAGAGAAACAAGUAUGGAAAAAAGAAUGGAAAAAGUUUUCUAAAGACAGGUUUAACUGUGAAAGGAAGAUCCACCCUAAUGUUGACAGCACCAACCUGUGCUGCAGGGCCCAGACUGAAUAAAAAGGAGAAGGGAAAAUGGGAAGCUGAGCUCCAGCCUUCACCUCUGCUCCCUGCAUCUCUCACAUUCAAGCCACCUAGGAGCCUUCCCUGCCAUGGAUGGACUGCAUCUUCAACUGUGAGCCAAAUACUUCCUUCCUCAAGGUGCUUGCCAGACUAUGGGUAUGAUGAUAGCUGCUUCAAGCUCCUGCUGCCUUGAGUACUCUACAGCAGACCUGCAAUUCUGAAAUGAAAAG
ensembl:antisense Parvaos parvin, alpha, opposite strand